rnacentral:rRNA from 1 species
CCUACGGGAGGCAGCAGUGGGGAAUAUUGGGCAAUGGGCGCAAGCCUGACCCAGCAACGCCGCGUGAAGGAAGAAGGCUUUCGGGUUGUAAACUUCUUUUCUCAGGGACGAAGAAAGUGACGGUACCUUAGGAAUAAGCCUCGGCUAACUACGUGCCAGCAGCCGCGGUAAUACGUAGGCGGCAAGCGUUAUCCGGAAUGACUGGGCGUAAAGGGUGCGUAGGUGGUUUGACAAGUUGGUAGCGUAACUCCGGGGCUCAACCUCGGCACUACUACCAAAACUGGUGGACUUGAGUGCAUGAGGGGCAAAUAGAAUUCCUAGUGUAGCGGUGGAAUGCGUAGAUAUUAGGAGGAACACCAGUGGCGAAGGCGAUUUGCUGGACUGUAACUGACACUGAGGCACGAAAGCGUGGGGAGCAAACAGGAUUAGAUACCCGUGUAGUC